GACGAACGCUGGCGGCGUGCCUAAUACAUGCAAGUCGAGCGGACGAUUCGAAAGCUUGCUUUUGAAUCGUUAGCGGCGGACGGGUGAGUAACACGUGGGCAACCUGCCCUGUAGACGGGGAUAACACCGAGAAAUCGGUGCUAAUACCGGAUAACACGAAAUGUCGCAUGACGUUUCGUUGAAAGGCGGCGCAAGCUGCCGCUACAGGAUGGGCCCGCGGCGCAUUAGCUAGUUGGUGAGGUAACGGCUCACCAAGGCGACGAUGCGUAGCCGACCUGAGAGGGUGAUCGGCCACACUGGGACUGAGACACGGCCCAGACUCCUACGGGAGGCAGCAGUAGGGAAUCUUCCGCAAUGGACGAAAGUCUGACGGAGCAACGCCGCGUGAGCGAAGAAGGCCUUCGGGUCGUAAAGCUCUGUUGUUGGGGAAGAACAAGUAACGUAGUAACUGACGUUACUAUGACGGUACCUAACGAGAAAGCCACGGCUAACUACGUG
rnacentral:rRNA from 1 species